CAAGUCGAGCGGUAAGGCUCCUUCGGGAGUACACGAGCGGCGGACGGCUGAGUAACGCGUAGGAACGUACCCCAAAGUGAGGGAUAAGCACCAGAAAUGGUGUCUAAUACCGCAUGUGGUCUUCGGAUUAAAGCUUUAUGCGCUUUGGGAACGGCCUGCGUAAGAUUAGCUUGUUGGUGAGGUAAUAGCUCACCAAGGCGAUGAUCUUUAGCUGGUCUGAGAGGAUGAUCAGCCAGACUGGGACUGAGACACGGCCCAGACUCCUACGGGAGGCAGCAGUAGGGAAUUUUCCACAAUGGGCGAAAGCCUGAUGGAGCAACGCCGCGUGCAGGAUGAAACCCUUCGGGGCGUAAACUGCUUUUAUAUGUGACGAAUAUGACGGUAGCAUAUGAAUAAGGAUCGGCUAACUCCGUGCCAGCAGCCGCGGUCAUACGGAGGAUCCAAGCGUUAUCCGGAAUUACUGGGCGUAAAGAGUUGCGUAGGUGGCAUUGUAAGCGAGUAGUGAAAGCGUUCGGCUCAACCGAAUAUACAUUACCCGAACUGCAAAGCUAGAGGAUGAGGGAGGUUAUUGGAAUUCCCUGUGUAGGAGUGAAAUCCGUAGAUAUAGGGAGGAACACCGAUGGCGUAGGCAGAUAACUGGCUCAUUCCUGACACUAAGGCACGAAAGCGUGGGGAGCAAACGGGAUUAGAUACCCCGGUAGUCCACGCCGUAAACUAUGGAUGCUAGCUGUUAGAGGUAUCGACCCCUCUAGUAGCGAAGCUAACGCGUUAAGCAUCCCGCCUGUGGAGUACGGUCGCAAGACUAAAACAUAAAGGAAUUGACGGGGACCCGCACAAGCGGUGGAGCGUGUUGUUUAAUUCGAUGGUAAGCGAAGAACCUUACCCAGGCUUGACAUCCUUGGAAUUCUCCGAAGGAGAGAGUGCU
rnacentral:rRNA from 1 species